GAUGAACGCUGGCUACAGGCUUAACACAUGCAAGUCGAGGGGAAACGCCAUCGAAAGCUUGCUUUUGAUGGGCGUCGACCGGCGCACGGGUGAGUAACGCGUAUCCAACCUGCCCAUCACUUGGGAAUAACCUUGCGAAAGUAAGACUAAUACCCAAUGAUAUCCCACGAAGGCAUCGGAAUGGGAUUAAAGAUUUAUCGGUGAUGGAUGGGGAUGCGUCUGAUUAGCUUGUUGGCGAGGUAACGGCCCACCAAGGCAACGAUCAGUAGGGGUUCUGAGAGGAAGGUCCCCCACAUUGGAACUGAGACACGGGCCAAACUCCUACGGGAGGCAGCAGUGAGGAAUAUUGGUGAAUGGGCGAGAGCCUGAACCAGCCAAGUAGCGUGCAGGAAGACGGCCCUAGGGGUUGUAAACUGCUUUUAUAAGGGAAUAAAGUGGGUCACGUGUGACUUUUUGCAUGUACCUUAUGAAUAAGGACCGGCUAAUUCCGUG
rnacentral:rRNA from 1 species